AUGAUAAAAGGGCAAGCACAAAGCAAUCAGUGCCAUCAGGAAUUGCUAGCCGUUGCCUCAUUUGCUGUGACUGCAGUCUGUAGGAACCUCCUACUCAUCUGGAUAAGAGGGCCAUCAAAAUCACGAUAUACAUAUCUGUGUGGUGAAUUUGAAAUUGUGUGUCUUACCAGCAGCACCGCCUGGACCUUUUAUAUCCGUCCAGGUUCAGAACUGGACAUGAGGUUCAUCCAAACGUUUGAGAACUGCAGGAGGUUAAUUAAAAUGGUUUUUGCAAAAAAGUUAACUGGUGGCGAGCAUAAUAAAAAAUGCUGA
rnacentral:rRNA from 1 species